AUUCCAGCUCCAAUAGCGUAUAUUAAAGUUGUUGCGGUUAAAAAGCUCGUAGUUGGAGUUCUGCCAGGUGGCGCUCGUCCGCCCAAGUGGUGUGUACAGGGCGUGCAUCUGGCCCUUUCAAGGGGAACGUGUCUGCACUUCAUUGUGUGGUGCGAGAUCCUUGACUUUUACUUUGAGGAAAUAAGAGUGUUCCAAGCAGGCUCUCGUCGUGCAUAGCUCAGCAUGGAAUAAUAGCAUUGGACUUCGUUUCUACGCUGUUGGUUGCAAGAAGCGAAGUAAUGAUUAAUAGGGAUAGUUGGGGGCAUUAGUAUUUAUUAGCUAGAGGUGGAAUUCUCUAAUUUGAUAAAGACUAACUUAUGCGAAAGCAUUCACCAAGGAUGUCUUCAUCA
rnacentral:rRNA from 1 species